AUGUCCUGCUGUCUCCUUGCGCUUCUCUUGGGCACUUUCGUAGGUGUCAGAGCUCCAACCAUCCACCAAUGGCCGCCUGUCAGCAUGCAGCCUGUGGGCGGCCUGCUUGCUCUGGAACGCACCGUGAAGGGGACAUCAGUCCCUUAUCUGUAUUGGUACCAGCAGUUCCCGGGAGGGACCCCAGAGUUGCUCUUCUCCUCCGUAAAUGUUGACCAGAUAGUUCGUGAGACACCGCAGAACUUCACAGCCCUCAGGCCCACGGAUGGCCAGUUCAUCCUGAAUUCUGAGAAGCUCCUGCUCAGUGACUCUGGCUUCUAUCUCUGCGCCUGGAGUGUCACACGGAGGCUGUACCUAUCAGUGGUUUUUGACAAAGAUACCAAUGUCCUGUGA